CCUACGGGGGGCUGCAGUAGGGAAUUUUGCGCAAUGGGCGAAAGCCUGACGCAGCAACACCGCGUGAAGGAAGAAGCUUUUCGGAGUGUAAACUUCUGUCGGCAGGGAAGAACAGAUGACGGUACCUGCAGAGGAAGCAUCGGCUAACUACGUGCCAGCAGCCGCGGUAAGACGUAGGAUGCAAGCGUUGUCCGGAAUUAUUGGGCGUAAAGAGUUCGUAGGCGGUUUUGUAAGUCUGGUGUUAAAGCCCGAGGCUCAACCUCGGUAUGGCAUUG
rnacentral:rRNA from 1 species